rnacentral:rRNA from 1 species
UAGAGUUUGAUCAUGGCUCAGAACGAACGCUGGCGGCAGGCCUAACACAUGCAAGUCGAGCGCGCCUUCGGGUGAGCGGCGGACGGGUUAGUAACGCGUGGGAACGUGCCCUUCUCUACGGAAUAGCCUCUGGAAACGGAGAGUAAUACCGUAUACGCCCUUUGGGGGAAAGAUUUAUCGGAGAAGGAUCGGCCCGCGUUAGAUUAGGUAGUUGGUGGGGUAACGGCCUACCAAGCCUACGAUCUUUAGCUGGUCUGAGAGGAUGAUCAGCCACACUGGGACUGAGACACGGCCCAGACUCCUACGGGAGGCAGCAGUGGGGAAUAUUGGACAAUGGGGGGAACCCUGAUCCAGCCAUGCCGCGUGUGUGAAGAAGGCCUUCGGGUUGUAAAGCACUUUCAGAUGUGAGGAAAGGUGAGUAGUUAAUACCUGCUUACUGUGACGUUAGCAUCAGAAGAAGGACCGGCUAACUCCGUGCCAGCAGCCGCGGUAAUACGGAGGGUCCGAGCGUUAAUCGGAAUUACUGGGCGUAAAGCGCGCGUAGGUGGUUUUGUCAGUCAGAUGUGAAAGCCCAGGGCUCAACCUUGGAACUGCACCUGAUACUGCAAGACUAGAGUACAAUAGAGGGGAGUGGAAUUUCCGGUGUAGCGGUGAAAUGCGUAGAG